rnacentral:rRNA from 1 species
GCGUGAGACAUUUACCUUACAGACCGGUAUAAAUCUUUAUAUGAAGAAUCCCGGAUAUUUACAAAAAGGGCAAAGAACCGCUGUAAGAUGAGCUCGCGUAGGAUUAGGUAGUUGGUAAGGUAAAGCUUAUCCAAGCCGAUGAUCCUUAGUUGGUCUGAGAGGAUGAUCAGCCACACUGGGACUGAGACACGGCCCAGACGCUUCCGAGCGGCAGCAGUGAGGAAUUUUGGACAAUGGGCGAAAGCCUGAUCCAGCUAUAUCGCAUGAAUGAAGAAGGCUCAAUUGGUUGUAAAAAUUCAU